rnacentral:rRNA from 1 species
GGCGUGCUUAACACAUGCAAGUCGAACGAGAAAGAUUUCUUCGGAAAUUGAGUAGAGUGGCGCACGGGUGAGUAACGCGUAGGUAAUCUACCCUAAUAUUUGGGAUAACAUUGGGAAACUGGUGCUAAUACCGAAUACCCUUCUUUUCUGUCGGGUUAAGGAGGAAAGGUGGCCUCUUCAUGAAAGCUACCGUAUAAGGAUGAGCCUGCGUACCAUUAGCUAGUAGGUGGGGUAAAGGCCCACCUAGGCUACGAUGGUUAGCGGGUCUGAGAGGAUGAUCCGCCACACUGGAACUGGAACACGGACCAGACUCCUACGGGAGGCAGCAGUGAGGAAUAUUGCGCAAUGGGGGAAACCCUGACGCAGCGACGCCGCGUGAGUGAAGAAGGUUUUCGGAUCGUAAAGCUCUGUCAGAAGGGAAGAAAUGCUGCAUGGUUAAUACCCAUGCAGUUUGACGGUACCUUCAGAGGAAGCACCGGCUAACUCCGUGCCAGCAGCCGCGGUAAUACGGAGGGUGCAAGCGUUGUUCGGAAUUACUGGGCGUAAAGGGCGCGCAGGCGGCCUGAUAAGUCAGAUGUGAAAGUCCAUGGCUCAACCGUGGAAGUGCAUUUGAAACUGUCUGGCUUGAGUAUCGGAGGGGAGUGUGGAAUUCCCGGUGUAGAGGUGAAAUUCGUAGAAAUCGGGAGGAACACCGGUGGCGAAGGCGACACUCUGGACGAAUACUGACCCUGAGG